UUGCUGACUAUUCCAGUGAGGUAGACUAGGGAGAGCCUUUAUUCUGUAGGGCAGGCUGUGCUCCAGAAGGUAGGGAGCAACACUGAGUAGUACAGUGCCUGGCAUAGAACUGAGGCUCUGUGAGACACUGAUUCAAGUCAAAUAGAGCACCAAGACUUUGAGCUAUUUUAGGACCCAGUUACAUGAAGCAUUCCCCGCUACUCCUGGUCUACACACAGGGUUGGUCCCAGGCUUCCCUUAUCAAGUUUAAAAGAGCAGACUUCCCUUCUCUCCCCAGACAUCCUACUUAUUCUCUCUUAACUUGGAAGAAAACAGGAAACAGUUGAUGACAUAAACAGGCUGAGAGAAGAAUGAACUAUGUGAGCUCACUGGGUAAUCAAAGCUUCACUGCAUUUCAGCCAUGUCAGACCUUGUUCUGCAAAGGCCAAAGCUCCAAGUACAGUCAAUGAUUCUGGAAGUUCUCUGACUCAUAAGCAGAUGGGAAUCCUAAACUCAUGGCUUCUUUCCAGUCUGUACCAGGUUGAGUUUGUGUUACUCUUCGCCUAGCACCUUAAAUUAUAUCAUCCAUUCCUUUAUGCGUGUGUUUGAGGCUCAUUCCAUUCCCUCAGCUGAAGCCAGAUAUAUUUCAGAGCACUGAAACCCCAACAUCAUACCAGUUAUCCUCACAACUCCAGGUCAACUGUGUUAAUAUCAAACCCUAGAAUCAUAUCUGAAAGAAGAUGUUCAAAAGCAUCAGGGCAAAGACCAAUUUUUUUAUUGGAUUUGGCUUUGACAAGUACUGGCAAACCCUGCAGACAUGAAUACAAAAUGAUUGUAAACAAACAGGCUGUGCCAGCAAAUGCUGACUUUCAAGUCCACUAAUUUGCAAUCAUUAAAUUAUAGGAGAAGCAUUAUAGUGAUGUUUCACUGUGAAAAAUUGGGAAUUGUACCCAAAACCCAACCACCUUGGUGAUAAACAGGAAUUUUUAAAAGUAAAAGCUACAGCUGUUUAAAAUAUUUUAAUUUUGAAAAGAGUUUGAAAUUUUAAAAAUAGUAAAAAUAGCUUUGCACUUUGUUUUUAUUUCCUCUGAUCAUAUUGUAUAGGAAAAAAGCCAGAAGAUACACAGGAGGAACAUGAAAAAGUAAAGGAAGUGAAUAUAAGGUAUCUGGACAUUUUCUAAAGAUUUGACA